rnacentral:miRNA from 1 species
ACAGGGAAGAGGUAGAGCAUG